AAUCACCAGUUGGUGGCGUUAAUGCACUAAUUUCGUUGCCUGCCAACCGCUAAUAACCGCCAAAGAAGAAGAAGAAGACGAAGUCAGCGUCGCAGCAAAGCCAUUACUGAAGACUCCGAUUUCUGUUUUCACAGGAUGGAGAACAACAGGGAUGAAGACUCUUCUACAGUCAAUGUCAACAAUGCCAAACAUCCUCUUAAUACUGAGGAAGUGGAAGCAAUAACAGUCCAGCACUCUUUUCUGUUGUUGAUGUGUUUGGGGGUGUUAAGUGUCGUGCUGGCUGCAAAAGUCCUCUACACAGGUAUGAUGGCAUACCAGGUGAAUGGCAUGAUGAGUGAAGAUGUGAGUAUGAUGACAACCAAGCAGCAUGAAAAUAUCAGCAGCCUUACAACUGAAAAACAUCAACUGGUAGAGCUACAAAAGGCGAUGAAGAGCCAGAUCGAGGACCUGGACCGAGAGAGAAACGUGUUCUGGAUAAAAGAAGAAUUUGACGAAAUCAGAAGGAAACUUAACCUACACAGACAGAAGCUGGCCAGAGACUUAGCACAGAUUAGCCAAGACAGAAAGAAGCUGAACCAAGAAAGACAGGAGCUGACCCAAGACUUACAGGACCUCAUUGAAGACAGAGAGAAGCUGAACCAAGACAGAGAGAAGCUGACCCGAGAGAGAGAAAAGUUGAGCCGAGACAGAGAAAAGCUGAGACAAGACACAGAGGAGCUGAGCCUAGAAGCGGAGGAGCUGAGUCGAAAUAGAACGGAGCUUAGCAAAGCAGAAGAGGAACUGAACAAAGAGAAAGAGGACCUGGCCCAAAAUACAGAAAAUCUGAACAAAGAGAAAGAUGUUCUGAACAAAGAGAAAGGUGUUCUGAACAGAGAGAGAGAGAAGGUGAGGCGUGAUAAAGAGAAAGUGAGGAAAGAAAGGGAGAAGCUGAAACGAGAGCAAGAGUACCAUAUGAAAAUAUGGGACCUGGUAAAAGAUAAAAAGGAAGUGGAAAAGAAGAGAGAGGAGCUGAGGGAAAGCAGAAAGAAGAUAAACAACCAGACAAAGGAGCUAAUGAAAGAAAAGGAGGAGUAUUACAAAGAUAUACAACUACUAAGAAAAAGGAAAGAGGAGCUGAGGAAAAAGAUGGAGGAGCUGAGGAAAAAGAUGGAGGAGCUGAGGAAAAUGAAAGAGGAGCUGAGCAAACAGAAAAAGGAGCGGACAAAAGAGAACGAGGAGCUGAGGAAAAAUGAAGAUCGGCUGUCCAAAAUGAAAGAUGAGCUGAUAAAAGAGAAAGAGAGGCUGAGCAAAAAGAAAGAGGAGCUCAGUAAAAAGAAAGAGAAGCUGGGCAAAGAGAAAGGGGAGCUGAUCAAAAUGAAAGAGGAGCUGGCCAAAGAGAAAGAAGAGCUGAACAAAAUGAAAGCAGAGCUUAUCGAAAAGAAAGAAGAGCUGAACAAAAAGAAAAUGAAACUGGACACAGAGAAAGAGGAGCUGAACAACCUGACAAAAAAGCUGAACCAAGAGCAAGAGAAGGUGAACAAAGAGCGUGAGAAGCUGAGAGCAUUGAUAAAUCAGGAAUUGGAAAAAUGCACAGAGAGAGACGCCCUGGUAACCUUCAAGACUGAUCUCUGGAAGUAUAGAAACUUUCCAACUGAAGAAUUCUGUCCUGAAUAUAUGAAACCAACAUGUCUGGAUUGCAGGUAUGGAUGGAUUUUCUACAAGGGACACUGCUACAUUGUUUCUCGUGAAGGUAGUGAAGAUUGGAAGACUUGGGAUGAAAGUCGAGAUUUCUGUCAGGAACGUGGUGCAGACUUACUUACGGUUGAUAAUAUGGAAGAGCAGACGUCUGAAACUCCAAUCCUACACUCUUUCACUCUGUGUAGUUCUCUCUUGUUCAUUAGUAUAUAAUCAAUUCUGGAAUAAAUACCGUGUGGUAUUGAAUAAUGAGUAUAAUCUUGAUCUAAGGGGUGAAAUUCUCUCCACACAUCUACAAUUGCCAUUUCUGACAUCAUGGUGUUCAUGUACAUACUGAUUUGCUUUUUACUAUUUUUCUUGCUUGUAGUAUCCAUCCUAUAAUUUAACACCGCAUUAAAGUCCCCGCUACAUAUCAAUAUUCCCUCUGCUUCCAAGUUAAUGAGAUCAAAUAUUUUCUUAAAAAGUGCUUUGUUACUUUCUGGAGGGGCAUAUACAUUGAGUAGUGUGGUUAACUGGUUUUCCAAUUUGCCCUUUAUCAUUAAGUAUCUUCCUUCUUUAUCCCCAAUUUCCUCCAACAAUUCAAACUUUACACUAUUUGAAAUCAAUGUCAUAACUCCUCGCUUAUGCCUUUCUCCAAGAGGAGGAAAAUGAGUUUCCAUACCCUAAUUUUUUGUACUUUCCAUGCCCUUUUUUUGUUAGGUGUGUCUCCUGUAAGAGAAUAACUUGUACCUUUUCUUUUCUAAAUUUCUUUAGGACCUUAUCUCUCUUUUUGGUAUUAUUUAAGCCAUUGACAUUCAGUGAUGCCACAGUUAUGACCUUAGACAUUGUUCGUAUAUCUUGGUUUGAAUCUCAGCCUCUUCACUUGAACUAUGAACAAGAACUAAACUAACCAAAAAUCUGAACUCCCGACUAAAUAUGGGCCAUAUUCCCAAGAGGCCCUUCGCUUCCAUGUUGCACUCUUCCAGCUCUGCGCCUCAGUCAUGUCUUCUUGUUGUUUCCGCAUCAUUCUGUGCCACUUUUUUCUUAAUUUCUUCUUUAAAGCCCAUAAAUUCUCCCUUCACCUCCUCUUUGAAUUCGUCUUUGAAUUUUGUGAGAUUCUCCUUCACCUCCUUUUUAAGGUCUCGGAUUUCCACCGUGAUGUUAAGUAGCCCCUCCAACACGGCCUGUAGCUGACUCCAGUUGCCGCUUUCUUCUUCCAUUGGCUCAACAUCGGGGUCGCAGACUUCUGCCAUUUUCUUCCUUAUGCUUCUCUGCUUGCGUCCUCCACUCAUUUCGUGUCUGGUUAAAGUUGUAUUUUGACUAGUUUCCUUGGAUUAGGGAGGGGUUUUUUUCCUCGACAAGAGAGCUCGAACUUAUGCUGCCAUCUUGCUCCGCGUCCACCGGAAGUCUCUAAUUUUCUCUUUUUGGCAGAGGAAAUUUUCCAAAAAUGGAGGGUUAAUCUGCACAUCCCCACUAAAUUCAGUACUAAUGCUAUGCCCAAAAAAUAAAUGCAGAAAAAAAACUUACUCAAUUUCCAUGUCUUAACUAUAAAAGCUUAGAAGAAAUUAUAAAUAAAUUCAGCUCCUUUUCCAAAUCUGGAACAAACUUCUGGAAAGUUGUUAAACAGCCGAAACACUGAGUUCCUUUAAAUCUAAA